UUUGUGUGUAGAUUAGAAUGCAAAAAUGAGGAUAGAAGAGUGCUGUUAUCCGACUCAAAUGUUUUUUCUUUUGGUUAUGUUUCUAGAGAACUCAAUUUAGCGGCUCAUAGAUUAUCUCGUUAUGCUUUAAUUUUAAGUGGUGCAUGCAUCUUCGUGGUAUGAAACUCCUCCCGAUAUCAUUCAAAAUUCUUUGGUUGAGAAUCUCGUGUAAUGUCUCCACGAUUUCAUAUAAUUUCACAGCUUUGUGACCAAUUUCUUUCAUAAUUUUCAGAGCGAAGUUUCAAAAUUGAAUCAAGAGAAAAUACAACACAAGUAUUGUGGGCUCAAGAUCAUUAGGUUACUAGAGUCUUAGAUAUAUAGGCAUUAGGGUCGUCCUAAUGUAGUAAACAAAUAAUUGCUUGCUGACAUGCACCAUUGUCACAUAAAUAUAGAAUCAAUGGCAGGCUUCUUAUUAAUAAUUAAUAUUUUUUUUUUCAAGGGCAUUUGGGUCGUCCUUCUUGGGUCUUCCAGUUGUUGUAGCAAGGGCAAACUUGUUUGUUGCCAUAAACGCCUGGAGGAACACAUAGGCAUGUGGCGCAGCAUUUUUGGCAGAAGAACAUGCAUGGCUUCUUGUGCGAUGUGGCAGAGCAACGAUAAGUACAUCUCGGCUUGCACUCUACAAAAUUAGCAAUCAAUUUUCAGAUUUUAGAUGUUUCAUGCUUUAUCAUAAUGAUG
rnacentral:lncRNA from 1 species